rnacentral:lncRNA from 1 species
GGUCGAUGUCGAUAGUCCGUUUUCUAACUGUUAAGAGUUAGACAUGUCACUUGUUCAUUCUUGGAAGCCUUCAUAUUCCCCGUCCGACGAUGGGAACUCUUCCUGAUUGUGUUGACUAUAAAUGAUUGUAUGGUAAUUCUGUCGUUUAUCUGUACAAGUGGUUGCAUGUCCUCUCCUUUCCCAACUACAAAUGGCAAUUAACACUUAUAUUAUAGCCAUAAAGUAGGACAAUAAAUGAACAAAAGACAAAUCCGGGUCAUGGGGUACAGAUAAGACACAUAAGUACCAACAAAAGACGCUCAAAAUUAAAAACUUAAAGUAAAUCAGAAACGUGCAUGGAUCACGCAAAACAUGCAGGGGCGACACCGGACUAAUGAGAGUUUGCUUCAUGUAAGACAUUCGCCGUGAAACAAUGAACAAUGAUGAAGACAAGCUUUUGUUUCAACUUUUUUUUUAAAUUUCCAACAUGAGGCUGUUACGGCCCCGUCCAAUGUUCUUAAGUAUCACAUAUUUUACUUUCAUUUUAUUGUUAGCUUUCUGAAAUAAAUAAUUACAUAUUACAUUAUAGACUAUAUUUUUUAUAGUUUCUUUUCUUUCAAAUUCAGUUAAACACUAUUUCUGAUUUGCUUUUUUAUAAAUUUAAAAUGUCUGCUUCUUUUUCUUCAUUUUUUUUUUAAAACCCCCGGUUUUGUAUUACCACUGACCAGUUCAGCCAAGAAACAGCUGCUUCAUGUUUGCAUAAAUGUGUUUGUAACCAAUGUGACAUGCUGUUAUUUCCUUAUUUUUUAUUCCGUGUCUUUAAAUAUAUAGUCUUUAUCGGGGAGGUAAGAUUUAUUUUGUCUGUUGGUUGCUUAGCUAUAGUAAACAAAUCGAUUUACGUCAUACUCUGAAGUUGGAUGGAGAUUGUUUUUAAAUAAAUACCGAACCUUAUUAGACUAUAGUACUUUGGUUUCCUGUUGGAUUUUCUCAAUUUUAAAAUUGUGAAGUUUUAUCACAUGUUUUGCAUAAUUAUUUUUUUUGUGCUUGCAAAUGAACGAUUUAUAAAUUUAGUCCUAAGCACAGCUAACGAAAUGUCUUUAGGGUAAUCUCAGAGUGUAUUUUUAUUUCAACUUUGACGUUUGCAUCAGGACGACGUAAACAGCGAAAACGUUCUUUUUUUAGAAUGACAUUCGUUUCUUCAAACAGAAAUCGCUUUUAUCCUUUAAUUGUUUUAGGCAUUAAGAGACCGGUUUCUAAAAAAAUCUUUCAUACAAUCGAAUGAACGAAGUAUAUAAGC